GUGGUAAUACCGGAUGCUCCGCUCCAUCGCAUGGUGGGGUGGGAAAUGCUUUUGCGGCAUGGGAUGGGGUCGCGUCCUAUCAGCUUGUUGGCGGGGUGAUGGCCCACCAAGGCGUUGACGGGUAGCCGGCCUGAGAGGGUGACCGGCCACAUUGGGACUGAGAUACGGCCCAGACUCCUACGGGAGGCAGCAGUGGGGAAUAUUGCACAAUGGGCGCAAGCCUGAUGCAGCGACGCCGCGUGCGGGAUGGAGGCCUUCGGGUUGUAAACCGCUUUUGUUCAAGGGCAAGGCACGGUUUCGGCCGUGUUGAGUGGAUUGUUCGAAUAAGCACCGGCUAACUACGUGCCAGCAGCCGCGGUAAUACGUAGGGUGCGAGCGUUAUCCGGAUUUAUUGGGCGUAAAGGGCUCGUAGGCGGUUCGUCGCGUCCGGUGUGAAAGUCCAUCGCCUAACGGUGGAUCUGCGCCGGGUACGGGCGGGCUGGAGUGCGGUAGGGGAGACUGGAAUUCCCGGUGUAACGGUGGAAUGUGUAGAUAUCGGAAAGAACACC
rnacentral:rRNA from 1 species